rnacentral:miRNA from 1 species
UGUAACAGCAUCUCCAUUUGGAA